rnacentral:sRNA from 1 species
GCCAGGUGAGUGGCACACACCUGUAAUCCCAGUGGCUCAGGAGGCUGAGGUAGGAGGAUCACCAGUUCAAAGCCAGCCUCAGUAAUUUAGCGAGGCCCUAAGCAACUCAGUGAGACCCUGUCUCUA